GUCUACAUGAGGGAAACCUUGUGGUGAACGCCGCGUGGGGGAUGAAGGCCUUCGGGUCGUAAACCCCUGUCACCAGGGACUAACCGUACGGUUUAUAGCCGUACCUGAAUUAACCUGGAGAGGAAGCAGUGGCUAACUCCGUGCCAGCAGCCGCGGUAAUACGGAGACUGCGAGCGUUACUCGGAUUUACUGGGCGUAAAGGGUCCGUAGGCGGCCAUGUGUGUCGGGUGUGAAAUCCUACAGCUUAACUGUAGAACUGCGCCCGAAACUACAUGGCUAGAGUAUUGGAGAGGUGAGUGGAAUUCCUGGUGUAGCGGUGAAAUGCGUAGAUAUCAGGAGGAACACCAACGGCGAAGGCAGCUCACUGGACAAUUACUGACGCUGAUGGACGAAAGCAUGGGGAGCAAAAGGGAUUAGAUACCCCUGUAGUCCAUGCCGUAAACGUUGUGCACUCGCUAUUGGCGGUUUCGACCCCGUCAGUGGCUAAGCUAACGCGAUAAGUGCACCGCCUGAGGACUACGGCCGCAAGGCUAAAACUCAAAGGAAUUGACGGGUCCCCGCACAAGCGGUGGAGCAUGUGGCUUAAUUCGAUGCAACGCGAAGAACCUUACCAGGCCUUGACAUGUAGUGGACCGGUGCAGAGAUGCACCUUCUCUUCGGAGCCCGCUUCACAGGUGCUGCAUGGCUGUCGUCAGCUCGUGUCGUGAGAUGUUCGGUUAAGUCCGUCAACGAGCGCAACCCCUGUCCUUAGUUGCCAGCAUUCAGUUGGGGACUCU
rnacentral:rRNA from 1 species